rnacentral:rRNA from 1 species
GAUGAACGCUAGCUACAGGCUUAACACAUGCAAGUCGAGGGGCAGCAUGGUCUUAGCUUGCUAAGGCCGAUGGCGACCGGCGCACGGGUGAGUAACGCGUAUCCAACCUGCCUUACACUCUUGGACAGCCUUCUGAAAGGGAGAUUAAUACAAGAUGUUAUCAUGAGUAAGCAUUUUCGCAUGAUUAAAGGUUUACCGGUGUAAGAUGGGGAUGCGUUCCAUUAGAUAGUAGGCGGGGUAACGGCCCACCUAGUCUUCGAUGGAUAGGGGUUCUGAGAGGAAGGUCCCCCACAUUGGAACUGAGACACGGUCCAAACUCCUACGGGAGGCAGCAGUGAGGAAUAUUGGUCAAUGGACGAGAGUCUGAACCAGCCAAGUAGCGUGAAGGAUGAAGGUUCUAUGGAUUGUAAACUUCUUUUAUACGGGAAUAACGAAUCCACGUGUGGAUUUUUGCAUGUACCGUAUGAAUAAGGAUCGGCUAACUCCGUGCCAGCAGCCG